CAGACCGUCCGGCCCCAGGCCAAGAGGGAGUCGCCCCAUCCUUUUAAACUCCCUUCACGCCUGGUGUGGACGUGUUUUCUCCACGGCAGCUCCAACCUGUCCCCCUUCGGAGGGGACGGGACGGUAGACCCGGGGAAAUCCCAGCUGGUCUGUUGAGAGACGGGACCGUGAGCUCAGGAGGGUGCCUUGCUCAGCAUCCUGGAUCUCGUAGGCACAGCGUCCCGUCUCCCGGACCAAACUGUGUCUCCCCCGAAAUUCACAGGUCGGGGUCCUGACCCCCCCAGGACCUCAGGAUGGGGCUGAGUUUGGAGACGGGUCUUUAAGGAGCGGAUGGAGGUGAAAGGAGGUCCUGAUGCGACGGGACUGGGGUCCUGACAUACGACCCUUUCUAACCUCAGGAGGUGUGUGUCGCGGAGACGAACCCAGCAGCUUGGAGGAUGAAGGGGGUUGUGAGGCGCUGGAUUGCACGCAGGGCCUGCCGGUCUGUGGGUUCGGCUUGUGCAGCGCGCUCAGUGUGCUCACAACGUAGGUAACCCCGGAGUCCUCCUGGAAGAGCCGUCCGGCAUUCGCUCAGUCACCCUCCGGGCCGCGUUAGGCAGCACAACCACAGGGCAUCACGAGGAUCGACUGUCCUUCUGGCAGCUUCCGCCCUCCUUUCCUACAGCUCACGGUCCUGUGAACGCAUUUCAACACUUGUGCCCGUGUGCGACUCGGUCCACAUCGCUCCCCGCCUGCCCUCCAGCCUGACCCAGCACCGGCCGGUGUGGACUCCAACAGGUCCUCUCAGGAUGCACAGCAGGUGAGCCCGAAGCCGCCCCCGGCCCCCCACAGUUCCUGGGGCUGGGUCAUCCCUGCCUGUCACCUGGCUGCAUACCAAAAGAGGUCGCAAGGUGCACAGCUUCAGGAUGCAAAAGGAAAUAUGUUCUGUUAGCUUUUUUUUUUUUUAAUUAAACAAAACCAGGAAUCUGUUCUGUCUGGGAAUGCAACUGCAGCGCACUCUGCCCUAAUGUUAGGAAAAUGGGCCCUCCUCCUUGCUUCCUUCUCAGAUUUCUCCAGGCAGAAAACU
rnacentral:lncRNA from 1 species